rnacentral:rRNA from 1 species
UACGGAGGAUCCAAGCGUUAUCCGGAUUCAUUGGGUUUAAAGGGUGCGUAGGCGGAAUGAUAAGUCAGUGGUGAAAUCCUGCAGCUUAACUGCAGAAUUGCCAUUGAUACUGUCAAUCUUGAGUACAUUUGAUGUGGGCGGAAUGUGUCAUGUAGCGGUGAAAUGCUUAGAUAUGACACAGAACACCGAUUGCGAAGGCAGCUCACAAAACUGUAACUGACGCUGAGGCACGAAAGCGUGGGUAUCAAACAGG